CUACGGGCCGCAGCAGUAGGGAAUAUUGGACAAUGGGGGCAACCCUGAUCCAGCCAUGCCGCGUGUGUGAAGAAGGCCUUUUGGUUGUAAAGCACUUUAAGCAGGGAGGAGAGGCUAAUGGUUAAUACCCAUUAGAUUAGACGUUACCUGCAGAAUAAGCACCGGCUAACUCUGUGCCAGCAGCCGCGGUAAUACAGAGGGUGCGAGCGUUAAUCGGAAUUACUGGGCGUAAAGCGAGUGUAGGUGGCUCAUUAAGUCACAUGUGAAAUCCCCGGGCUUAACCUGGGAACUGCAUGUGAUACUGGUGGUGCUAGAAUAUGUGAGAGGGAAGUAGAAUUCCAGGUGUAGCGGUGAAAUGCGUAGAGAUCUGGAGGAAUACCGAUGGCGAAGGCAGCUUCCUGGCAUAAUAUUGACACUGAGAUUCGAAAGCGUGGGUAGCAAACAGGAUUAGAUACCCUUGUAGUC
rnacentral:rRNA from 1 species